GAAGGAGAAACUAAACUGGCAAGGAAAGCAAGUUGCUGUUGGCUACAGAGAACCAUUCCACAGAACACCCUUAAGACCUGUGCUUUCAGAAGUCAGGAAUCAUGUCCAGUCAUGGAAUUCUUGCCCAGGAGAGGAGGAAGAAGCAGGGGAGCAGGAACUGACACUGACUUAGCACCUCGAUCUGGUAUCCCAUUUCUCCAAUAACAGUGACAAGCCAGAAAAUUUGUCUUGUGUGUAGCACCCCCACAGUAGCCAGCAGGGGACCCUGGAGGAUCGUGGAGCUGGAUCACCACCCAGAAGACAUGAAUUCCUCUUGUCCAGAGGCAGAACAACAGCAACAGCAGCCACUUAUGCUCCUGUAGUUUCCAGAGCACCUUGCUUAAUCGGAAGUAGGAUGUUACACUCCAGAGACUACUGAUUUACAUAUCACACAUGUGCUCAUCCAUCCAUUCACCAAACCUCUGUUGACUGCUCGCGCUGCCCUGCGUUCCUGGCACUGUGCAGGGUUAUAAUCUAGUAGGAAAGACCUGACAAGGUCACAGAUGUCAGUACUGAAAGGAAGAGUAGGGUAGAUGGCCACCCCACCCCCACCCCAACCUCAAAAAAGAGACUAAAAAAUUACUGUCACUUGUGUAAUUCAUCAACAAACUUUACUGAGCACCUAAUAGGCACUGAGUGUUUUCGUGUAUUGAUCACGCAUUGAUCCUCACAAUAACCUUUGAGAUGGGUUGUGCCAUUUACACAGGGCGAAGAAGAGAGACUGGCCACUGUCACACAGCUACUGAUAUCCAAGCUGAGAUCCAAAGCUCCUCUGCUUCUCCUGAUGAGAAUGAGCACCACAGGCAGGCCACAGAAAAACACCCAGGAGAGCCAAACUCAGACCCACCCCAGAUUUCCCACCCCACCCUCCACUGGCUCCAACCUCACUCCCUCUUCAUUCAUUCAGCCAGUCUGUCAAACACAGUUAUUGUACUCCUGUGGGGUGCAAAGCUCUUGAGGAAAGGGGAGGAAGGAAGAAUCAUAAAU
rnacentral:lncRNA from 1 species